rnacentral:lncRNA from 1 species
UGCGUCUCGGGACAAAUUCCUUUCCCUCUAUCAAUACGUUUUAUUUUUUCACGGAGGGGAGGGGACUCAUUUUGCCAAGAAUUUAUUGUGCAUCGUUUCUGAUUCAGCAGGUCUACAGUCGAAACCAGGAAUUAGCAGCUUUAACAAGUGCCACAAGUGAUCGGAUACCGGUGGUCCCAGGACCACACCUCGAGAAAGCCCCGCAGAGAGAUGAGUGCAUGGAAAGAGCCAACUGAGAGGUGGGGCUGAGUCAGGCCUCUGGAAUUCUGAAGUGGUUUUAGCCCUUGUUUAUAGUCUAUUCCAUUGCUCCAAUUGUAAAGCCUGUUCAGUUAAAAAUUCACC